rnacentral:rRNA from 1 species
AAUGAACGUUGGCGGCGUGGAUUAGGCAUGCAAGUCGAGCGAGAAGUCUCCCUUCGGGGAGGCGGAAAGCGGCAAACGGGGUAGUAAUGCGUAGGUGACGUACCCUAAGGUCUGGGAUAGCCGCGGGAAACUGCGAUUAAUACCGGAUAACCUCUCCGAUCAUGAUCGAAUGGGGAGCAAAGGUGUGAUUCCGCCCUAGGAGCGGCCUGCGUGGUAUUAGGUAGUUGGUGAGGUAACGGCUCACCAAGCCUGAGAUGCCUAGGGGGUGUGAGAGCACGACCCCCACCACUGGGACUGAGACACCGCCCAGACACCUACGGGUGGCUGCAGUCGAGAAUCUUCGGCAAUGGGCGCAAGCCUGACCGAGCGACGCCGCGUGCGGGAUGAAGGCCUUUGGGUUGUAAACCGCUGUCAGAGGGGAUGAAAUGCAAGAGGGUACUCUCUCUUGUUUGACAGAGCCUCAGAGGAAGCACGGGCUAAGUACGUGCCAGCCGCCGCAGUAAUAC